rnacentral:rRNA from 1 species
GAUGAACGCUAGCGGCAGGCUUAAUACAUGCAAGUCGAGGGGCAGCGCAGUGUAGCAAUACAUGGGCGGCGACCGGCAAACGGGUGCGGAACACGUACAGAACCUUCCUUCGAGCGGGGAAUAGCCCAGAGAAAUUUGGAUUAAUACCCCAUAGUAUAUUAGAGUGGCAUCACUUUAAUAUUAAAGAUUUAUCACUUGAAGAUGGCUGUGCGGCUGAUUAGGAGUUGGCGGGGUAACGGCCCACCAAGCCAGCGAUCAGUAACUGGUGUGAGAGCACGACCCAGUCACACGGGCACUGAGACACGGGCCCGACUCCUACGGGAGGCAGCAGUAAGGAAUAUUGGUCAAUGGACGCAAAGUCUGAACCAGCC